UGUCUUAAUUGCAGUUUUGUGACUAUUUAGUUUUGAGUUUGUUGUGUGUGUCUGCAGGUUGGAUGUUUUUCUGGACACUUGUGAUGACCUUUGGGUUGAACCAUUCACAAAAUCCUCACUUUCUUGUGUUUCUGCACAAAGUGAAGCUGCAUUUGAGUUUCUACAGUCAUCUAUAAAUUGCUCUUCUCAGAAUCACUCGUCCAUGGCAUCAGUGAUGCAGGAGAGGAGUGGAGGGGAAGGGAGGGAUCUGCUGCUCCCUGUGUAACGAGAUUCCCGGCUAAUCAGUGACUUUCCUGCCUUAUCGCUGCCAUCAGGACACUCGGGAGGCCAAGUAACCCAGGACGAGCUGAUGUCAUGCUGAGAUGGGCCCAGGGCAGGCCAGACAGGCUGACUUUGGACGGGGAUGGUCGGUGAACAAACAAGCGAGCCAGUGUCUGCGGCAGAGGAGGUUGGGAUGCAGGUGGCUAGGAGGCACGCUUGGGUU
rnacentral:lncRNA from 1 species